rnacentral:rRNA from 1 species
UGCAGUCGAGCGAAUGACGAGAAGCUUGCUUCUCUGAUUUAGCGGCGGACGGGUGAGUAACACGUGGGCAACCUGCCCUACAGAUCGGGAUAACUCAGGGAAACCUGGGCUAAUACCGGAUAAUCCUUCGAAUCACAUGUUUUGAAGUUGAAAGGCGCUUCGGCGUCACUGUAGGAUGGGCCCGCGGUGCAUUAGCUAGUUGGUGGGGUAACGGCCUACCAAGGCAACGAUGCAUAGCCGACCUGAGAGGGUGAUCGGCCACAUUGGGACUGAGACACGGCCCAAACUCCUACGGGAGGCAGCAGUAGGGAAUCUUCCACAGUGGACGAAAGUCUGAUGGAGCAACGCCGCGUGAGUGAUGAAGGUUUUCGGAUCGUAAAACUCUGUUGUAAGGGAAGAACAAGUACGUUAGGAAAUGAACGUACCUUGACGGUACCUUAUUAGAAAGCCACGGCUAACUACGUGCCAGCAGCCGCGGUAAUACGUAGGUGGCAAGCGUUGUCCGGAUUUAUUGGGCGUAAAGCGCGCGCAGGUGGUUUCUUAAGUCUGAUGUGAAAGCCCACGGCUCAACCGUGGAGGGUCAUUGGAAACUGGGGAACUUGAGUGCAGAAGAGGAUAGUGGAAUUCCAAGUGUAGCGGUGAAAUGCGUAGAGAUUUGGAGGAACACCAGUGGCGAAGGCGACUGUCUGGUCUGUAACUGACACUGAGGCGCGAAAGCGUGCGGAGCAAACAGGAUUAGAUACCCUGGUAGUCCACGCCGUAAACGAUGAGUGCUAAGUGUUAGGGGGUU